UGCAGUGGCACAAUCUCAGUUCACUGCAGCCUCAACUUCACAGGCUCAAGUGAUCCUUUCACCUCAGCCCCCAAAAAGUAGCUGGGACUACAGGCAGGCGCCACCAGGCCUGGCUAAUUUUUCUAUUUUUAGUAGAGACGGGGUUUCACCAUGCUGCCGAGGCUCAUAUUACACUCCUGGACUCAAGUGGUACACCCUCCUCGGUCUCCUGAAGUGCUGAGAUUACAAGUGUGAGCCGCUGCACCCGGCCAUAGCCGUCUGUUCAGGUUAUCGGAGUCUCCCUAUUCAUGGGAUGAGUGUCCACAACAAACUCCACAAUCCUGUGUCUGCUCAUUGAAGUGAAAACAAGCUGGAGGAUUAAAGCAAAACUAUGCUGUUCCCCAGAGACCCUUAUGUCUUCAACUGCUCUCCAUAUAUCUUCUUCCCAACUUCAACGUGGGGAAGUGUAUAAUCUUACAGCGAAGAUCAUGUUCCAGACCAGCAGCAUCAGCAUCACCCAAGAACGUACUACAAAUGAAGAAUCUCCGGCCUGCUGAAUCAGAAAGUGCAGCUUCGAUGAGCCCCCCGCUGAUUUACUUGGGGAAGAGAACUUCUUAUCUAUCUCGACUGAACAUGGCAUUAAAUCUGUUUUCAGAAUUACCUG
rnacentral:lncRNA from 1 species